rnacentral:rRNA from 1 species
AUUGAACGCUGGCGGCAGGCCUAACACAUGCAAGUCGAGCGGAUGAGAGGAGCUUGCUUCUCGAUUCAGCGGCGGACGGGUGAGUAAUGCCUAGGAAUCUGCCUGGUAGUGGGGGACAACGUUUCGAAAGGAACGCUAAUACCGCAUACGUCCUACGGGAGAAAGCAGGGGACCUUCGGGCCUUGCGCUAUCAGAUGAGCCUAGGUCGGAUUAGCUAGUUGGUGAGGUAAUGGCUCACCAAGGCGACGAUCCGUAACUGGUCUGAGAGGAUGAUCAGUCACACUGGAACUGAGACGCGGUCCAGACUCCUACGGGAGGCAGCAGUGGGGAAUAUUGGACAAUGGGCGAAAGCCUGAUCCAGCCAUGCCGCGUGUGUGAAGAAGGUCUUCGGAUUGUAAAGCACUUUAAGUUGGGAGGAAGGGUUGUACGUUAAUACCGUGCAAUUUUGACGUUACCGACAGAAUAAGCACCGGCUAACUCUGUGCCAGCCGCCGCCGUAACAC